GGCUAUUCGAGGCAUGUCUCCUGAUGUCUCCCAAAGAAUGCACUCCUCUGGCCUAUGCCUGAUUACUCUGCAGAAAUUCCCGUGGUUUCUGCCAUCUCAGCAACUUCUGUCACAGAGACGCUGGAAAUACUCUACUGAAAACGUUCGUGGAUAUAUCAGCUCCUGGUAAUAAGAAAACAUGCAGAAAAGAACAUAGCAGGCCAGAGAUUGCUAUCCUGAGGAAGGCCUCCUUACAAGGUUGGCCCAGCUGGCAUUCCAGAACUUGGAUUUGGGAGUGUUUCCACCAUUUCCUGGUAAGAAUAACUCAUUGUACCUAAACUGUUUGUACAAACAAUGUGCUUUAAGUUGAAUACCUGAUUUC
ensembl:lincRNA